UGAGGAAUUUUGCGCAAUGGGAGCAAUCCUGACGCAGCAACGCCGCGUGGGUGAUGAAGGCCUUCGGGUCGUAAAGCCCUGUCAGGUGGGAAGAAUGUCCCGGAACUGAACAGGUUUCGGGAGUGACGGUACCACCAGAGGAAGCACCGGCUAACUCCGUGCCAGCAGCCGCGGUAAUACGGAGGGUGCAAGCGUUAUUCGGAAUUACUGGGCGUAAAGCGCGUGUAGGCGGUCCUGCAAGUCUGAUGUGAAAGCCCCGGGCUUAACCCGGGAAGUGCAGUGGAAACUGCAGGUCUCGAGUACGGGAGAGGAUGGGGGAAUUCCCGGUGUAGAGGUGAAAUUCGUAGAGAUCGGGAGGAAUAUCAGUGGCGAAGGCGCCCAUCUGGACGGUAACUGACGCUGAGACGCGAAAGCGUGGGGAGCAAACA
rnacentral:rRNA from 1 species